AUCUACAACUUUAGCAGCUGCUGUUCAGACUAGGUAAUCUACCUAAAGCUAAUCCGGUUGGCCCUGAACCAGUACUUGGAUGGGAGACCUACUAGGAAAGCUGGGUUGCUGCUGGAUG
rnacentral:rRNA from 1 species